rnacentral:snRNA from 1 species
AUCACUUCUUGGCCUUUUGGCCAAGAUCAAAUGUAGUUCUAAUAGGGGUGUGUGUGUGUGUGUGUGUGUGUGUAGUCUUUAGGGUUUUCUACAUAUAAGAUCUUGUCAUGUGAGGAAAAAGGCAAUUUACUCCUUCAUUUCCAAUUUAGAUGCCUUUUAUUUC